AAGUUUUUCGGCGAGUAUUUGUAUGACGACUUUGCUGUGUUAGCUCAUUUAUUUGUAUACACCGAAGACAAUUCUUAUUACUGUCAAGUGUGAUCCACAUUUUUUUCUAAUUUGAACCAGUUUUUAUAAUAAUGAUAAUGAACACAAAGAGCGAAUUGCCCUUGGGGACGCCAGCCGUUGUACUACGACUAAGAAACAUUUACAUACUUACGUGGAUACGAAUACCCGUGGUAAAACCAACCAAGGACUACCCGAGGGCCAUGAUUGAUGCUGAAGGCUGGGAGGCAUGAGAAUAGGCAAAUGUCUUAAAGAUAAUAAACUUCCAGCAUCUACACAAUGGAGUGAAAGGGAGUCCGUUCUUAAAGCAACUGCAUCUCCCCUUGCAACCAGUCCUGCACCCGCAUUUUGUCGAGCUCUAUGAUGACUUUUGGAACAGACAGCGAAAGUCCAAGGCUGGUCAUACUCGUCCAGCCUCCUCUGUGGUUGGUAGAAAAUUUUGGACUGUUGUUUAGGACUGUCACACAUAGCCAUUGUAGUUGCCAUCGUUGUCUAUGUAGCCGCCAGCAUUGCUUGCCCUGGUAAUGCUGUUGUUGACUGUUGACUGGGUCUCAAGUAUCUCUGUUGUUGACUGUGUCUCGUGUUUCUCUGUUGUUGACUGGGUCUCGGGUAUCUCUGUUGUUGACUGUGUCUCGUGUUUCUCUGUUG